GCUUUCGUGGUCUAGUUUAUUGCAUCUGCCUUAAAAGCAGAAGGCCUUCGGUUCGAUUCCGAACGAAAACA